CCCAAGGUAUGACUCAUGAUUGGGGUGAAGUCGUAACAAGGUAGCCGUAGGAGAACCUGCGGCUGGAUCACCUCCUUUCUAA
rnacentral:rRNA from 1 species